rnacentral:rRNA from 1 species
UACAGAGGGUGCAAGCGUUGUUCGGAAUUAUUGGGCGUAAAGCGCGUGUAGGCGGCGGAAUAAGUCGGGUGUGAAAUCCCUCAGCUUAACUGAGGAAGUGCGCCCGAAACUGUUUUGCUUGAGUCCUGGAGAGGGUGGCGGAAUUCUUCAAGUAGAGGUGAAAUUCGUAGAUAUGAGGAGGAACACCGGUGGCGAAGGCGGCCACCUGGCCAGAAACUGACGCUGAGACGCGAAAGCGUGGGUAGCAAACAGG